rnacentral:lncRNA from 1 species
CAUAUCCUGAUUCCUAAUCAUUAGCAAUCACCAACACUAGAACCACAAGGGAAAAGAGAUCUACCUACAAGACCUGUGACCCUCGACCUACUUCGUUGAUCACCAAGUUGCAAAGGAUGUCGAAUGAGUCCCACAAAAAGAAGUAAAAAUAAUAGCAGCACAGAGUGCAUCGGAUUCAUCAGUUCAACCUACAUAGCCAAAACCACCUCAUGCUGUGAGUAGCUCCAUGGUGAGUGAUCCCCAUAGGGAUUUCUCGUCAUUAACAUCCUUGAUUCCCCACUAAAGAUAGCCCAAUGCCUAAACUGAAUCGCACCACCGAAUAGCUUGACUCACAACCACCCCACUAGCAGGAACCCAUCACCAAGGACGCAGAGGUAGCCCCAUAACGAAAAAAGGCACAAAUCCGAAAGGAAAAGCACGUUCUUCUACCCAACGAGUCUGAAUUAAGUGACUAUCUUGGCUUCCCAGAAGAAUCGGAGAAAAAGAGAUAUAAAGAAGUCUCUAAAC